UUUUAGGAGGCCCAGUGUAUAGAGCACAGUGCUCCGUGUCAGUAUUCACAGGGGUGCCCCCUGCCAACAACCCCAGCCCGUUGCUUCCCUCCGUCCCCCAACUUCCGGGCUACCGUGGCAGUGUCCCCCCCCCCAUUUGUGUGAUGAGGUAAUAAAGAAU